rnacentral:rRNA from 1 species
UACGAGGGGGGCGAGCGUUGUUCGGAAUUAUUGGGCGUAAAGGGUGCGUAGGCGGCCUGACAAGUCUGAUGUGAAAUCCCUGGGCUCAACCCAGGGCCUGCAUCGGAAACUGUCGGGCUUGAGUAUGGGAGAGGUGAGUGGAAUUUCCGGUGUAGCGGUGAAAUGCGUAGAUAUCGGAAGGAACACCUGUGGCGAAAGCGGCUCACUGGACCAUUCUGACGCUGAGGCACGAAAGCUAGGGGAGCAAACAGG